GCCAAGAUCGUGGCAUCGCACUACAGCCUGGGCGACAAGAGCGAAACACCGUCUUAAAGAAAAAGAAAAGAAAGAAAGAAGUGAUUCACUUUCUGCCAUUAACUCAGAAAGGAGGCUUGUCUUCUGGAAAAGAGAGUAUCAAGCAAUUUAGGUGAUGACCUCAAUUCUUCCCCCACAUCUUAUUUAGUUCCAGUGGUUAGGUAUCCCUCACGUGGCUGGAAAGCGCUGCCUGGAAUGCCAGUGGAAGAUUGGGCAUUGCGGCAGGUGCGGCGAAGCCUCGUUCUCGCUUUCCCCACCUAGAGUCAAAGAAUAAAGACCUUCCAACCAGUACGGUAGGCAGCGACACGGAGGACCGUGGAGAUUGCAAAGAAAAAGAAGAGUGAAAACGGGCUGCGUUGCCCAUACAAGCCGGGGCCUUGGAUAACUCAUGACACAAAGACUCAAAAUACGCAAUAUAUAGCAUCAUGAAAGGAGCAAAGGAUAGACUUCUAAUUUAAGACGGUGGAAUGAAAAGGUAUUUUUGGCUUUGCUGUCUCCUGAGGCGGCGCUAAAACAACUGUGUAAUAGGUUGAAUUGUGUCGUCCAAAAAGAUGUUGAAGCUUUAACUUCCAUUAUCAGUGACUGCGUCCUCAUUUGGAAACAAGGUAUUUACAGAUAAUUAAAUUAAGAUUAGAUCUUUCGAGUGGAUUGUAGUCAAUAUGACUGGUGUUCUUAUAAAAGGGGGGAAAUUUGGACACAAAAACAGGCAUGAAUAAAGGAAAGAGGAUGUGAAGACACAGGAAGAACGUCAUCCACAACCCAAAGAACACCUGAGGAUACUAGAAGCUGGGAGACAGGCAUGGAACAGAUUCUUCCUCCCAGUCCUCAGAAGAACCUCACUCUGCUGACACUUUAAUAUCAGCCUUUCAGCCUCUGGAACAGUGAGACAAUACAUUUCUGUUGUUUGA